rnacentral:rRNA from 1 species
GACGAACCGUGCGAACGUUGUUCGGAAUCACUGGGCUUAAAGGGCGCGUAGGCGGGUGGUCAAGUCAGGGGUGAAAUUUUUCAGCUCAACUGGAAAACAGCUUCUGAUACUGGCCGUCUUGAGGGGGGUAGGGGCAUGUGGAACUUCCGGUGGAGCGGUGAAAUGCGUAGAUAUCGGAAGGAACGCCGGUGGCGAAAGCGACGUGCUGGACCCUUUCUGACGCUGAGGCGCGAAAGCCAGGGGAGCAAACGGG